GAUGAACGCUGGCGGCGUGCCUAAUACAUGCAAGUCGAGCGAACGGACGAGAAGCUUGCUUCUCGGAUGUUAGCGGCGGACGGGUGAGUAACACGUGUAUAACCUACCUAUAAGACUGGUAUAACUUCGGGAAACCGGAGCUAAUACCGGAUAAUAUUUUGAACCGCAUGGUUCAAAAGUGAAAGACGGUCUUGCUGUCACUUAUAGAUGGAUCCGCGCUGCAUGAGCUAGUUGGUAAGGUAACGGCUUACCAAGGCAACGAUGCAUAGCCGACCUGAGAGAGUGAUAGGCCACACUGGAGCUGAGCCACGGUCCAGACUCCUAAGGGAGGCAGCAGUAGGGAAUCUUACGCAAUAGGCGAAAGCCUGACGGAGCAACGCCGCGUGAGUGAUGAAGGUGUUCGGAUCGUAAAACUCUGUUAUUAGGGAAGAACAUAUGUGUAAGUAACUGUGCACAUCUUGACGGUACCUAAUCAGAAAGCCACGGCUAACUACGUG
rnacentral:rRNA from 1 species